GUGAAGGGAACAGAGGCUAAAUCCGCAACGUCCGUUGCAACGCCUCCCGAGACCUGCGUCAUGCAGG
rnacentral:sRNA from 1 species